CAUGGUUUUAUGAUCCAUAGGGGUCCUCCCAUCCCAACCACUCAGUGAUCCCAUGGUUCUAUGACCUACAGGGUCCCUUUCAACCCAACCACGCGAUUCUGUGGUCUAUAGGGCCCAUCCCGACCCACAGCUCACAGCAUCAUGAGGCACACACAGAAAGCAGCGGUGCUCAAUGCCUCCUCUGCCCGCAGCGCCCAAACUGCAGAGAGCAAAGGAAGGAACUGAGAGAAGGACGAUCUGCCCCCCAAAGAUGAGGUCUGAAAGCAGCUGUAGGGCCUGAAGGUGCUAUGGGGCCGACGAGAUCCCUCCAUGGGUUCAGGGGGAGCUGCGGGGUGAUGCCGCCACGCUGCCCUCCAUCGUAUUCGGAAGGUGGUGGCAUUGGGAGACAUUCCCAUGGGUUGGAAAAGGGGACACACAGCUCCCGUUCCCAGGAAGGGGAAAAAUGGGGGGGGGGGGGGGGGGGGGAGAACUGCACAGCAGAGGUUUCCCCUCUGUGCCUGCGGGACUGUGGGGCACACAGGGGGGUCACGGAAAAGAAGGAUGGGGUGGUUGGUGGUAAGCAGCAUGGCUUCAGCAGGGCUGUGAGGAGGGUUUGGGGGUGUGGGUCGAUGAAAGAGGGCUGCCCAAAUCCUGCCUUGCUUUGGGAGCAGUGCAGCCAGCAGGGUGGGGGAUGGGGGGGUUGGGGGGGGAUGGGGGGGGGAUGGGGGGGGGUCCUGCCCCUCUGCUCUCCUGAGCCCCCAUCGGGAACGCUGCAUUCAG
rnacentral:lncRNA from 1 species